CUACCAGAAAGCAGCCCACCCCCACCCCCAUUAAAAAAAAAAAUAAGCGAGUGGGGAAGAGCCAGCCCCACGCCGGUCCGCCUCCCGCCCACGGCUCGGCCUCCCUCCCGCCUGGCUCGGCGCUCCUCCGCCCCGAGUUCUCCAUCCCCUGGAUCCCGGGCUCGCGGGGGCGCGGAGAAGAGGAUCCAGGAAAGGUGGAGGGAACCCCAUGAGAAGGAAUAUGAGCAGCCUGGAGAGGCCGAGACCAACCCCAACCCCCAGCUGACAGUGACAAAAUGUGGAUGUCAGACCUGAAGCCACAAGGAACAGGAUUCUGUCAACAACUGUAAAAAAUUGGAAGCAGAAUAUUUCCCAAAUCCCCCAGAUAAGAACCCAGUUGGCUGACACUUUGAUGUUGGCCUUGUGAGACUCUGAGCAGAGUCCAGGUGAGACUGCCUGGACUUCUGACCUAUAGAAUCGUGGGAUAUUAAAUGGAUGUUGUUUUAAGCUGCUAAAUUUGUGGUAAUUCAUUUCGCAACAACAGAAAACUACUACAUACUGAUUCAGAGAAAUCAAAACAGAAGUGGUACACUCUUCUCUACCCUUUUACAUUCACAAGGUGUUUCCAAUGUAACACUCAUAUAUGGUGAGGGCAGUUGUCUCUCUUUUUACAGGUGAUGAUAUAGACUCAGAGAGAUUAAGUUACUUGCCCAGGACACUCAUCCAGGAAAUGGGGGAAGAGGACUUGAAUGGGCUUUUUUGUGUGUGAGUUAGGAUGGGGUGGGGGCGUGUUUCCUUUACUGUCUUUUGCAUUCAAAUAG
rnacentral:lncRNA from 1 species